AACGAACGCUGGCGGCAGGCUUAACACAUGCAAGUCGAACGCCCCGCAAGGGGAGUGGCAGACGGGUGAGUAACGCGUGGGAAUCUACCGUGCCCUACGGAACAACAGUUGGAAACGACUGCUAAUACCGUAUACGCCCUACGGGGGAAAGAUUUAUCGGGGUAUGAUGAGCCCGCGUUGGAUUAGCUAGUUGGUGGGGUAAAGGCCUACCAAGGCGACGAUCCGUAGCUGGUCUGAGAGGAUGAUCAGCCACAUUGGGACUGAGACACGGCCCAAACUCCUACGGGAGGCAGCAGUGGGGAAUAUUGGACAAUGGGCGCAAGCCUGAUCCAGCCAUGCCGCGUGAGUGAUGAAGGUCUUAGGAUUGUAAAGCUCUUUCACCGACGAAGAUAAUGACGGUAGUCGGAGAAGAAGCCCCGGCUAACUUCGUGCCAGCAGCCGCCGUAA
rnacentral:rRNA from 1 species